UGUGGGUGUGUGUGUGAUUUG
rnacentral:siRNA from 1 species